rnacentral:rRNA from 1 species
GAGUUUGAUCGUGGCUCAGAUUGAACGCUGGCGGCAUGCCUUACACAUGCAAGUCGAACGGCAGCAUGAUCUAGCUUGCUAGAUUGAUGGCGAGUGGCGAACGGGUGAGUAAUACAUCGGAACGUGCCCUGUAGUGGGGAUAACUAGUCGAAAGAUUAGCUAAUACCGCAUACACCUGAGGGUGAAAGUGGGGGACCGCAAGGCCUCAUGCUAUAGGAGCGGCCGAUGUCUGAUUAGCUAGUUGGUGGGGUAAAGGCCCACCAAGGCGACGAUCAGUAGCUGGUCUGAGAGGACGAUCAGCCACACUGGGACUGAGACACGGCCCAGACUCCUACGGGAGGCAGCAGUGGGGAAUUUUGGACAAUGGGCGAAAGCCUGAUCCAGCAAUGCCGCGUGUGUGAAGAAGGCCUCGG